AGUUAGAAUUCAAUGUUGGGGAUCGAGUUUUCCUCAAAGUUUCUCCCUCAAAGGGAGUUAUACGUUUCGGAAAGAGGGGCAAGUUACGACCCCGUUUUAUCGGACCUUUUGAGAUCCUAGAUAAGAUAGGCCCUGUAGCCUAUAGGUUGGCAUUGCCACCCAGUAUUGGAGACGUGCACAACGUGUUUCAUGUCUCUCAGUUAAGAAAAUAUGUGUUUGAUCCAAAACAUGUGAUUAAGCACGAUGAAGUGGUCCUAGCCCAGGACUUAAGUUAUGAAGAGAAACCAGUCCAAAUACUUGAUCGCAAGGUUCAAGUUUUACGUAACAAGAACAUCGUUCUCGUUAAAGUGAAGUGGAACCAUCACGGGAUGGAAGAGUCCACAUGGGAACUUGAAGAUUCAAUGAAAGUCAAGUAUCCCCAGCUAGAUUAUCAAGGUAUGUAAUUUCGGGGACGAAAUUUUUAUUUAAGGAGGGAGGGAUGUAAUACCCCAUUUCCUCGAGCUAAGUUUAGAAUAACUUUGAACUUAGAUUAAGAUGAUUCACGCCGGAUAAAAAAAAAAGGAAUUUAUUUUAAUUCCAACAAAAAUGAUUUACAAAAGUAUUUGUAAAUUUAGUUAUUAAAUUAUAUGCAUAGCAUAUUUAUUUAAUUAGGCAUUCAAGCUCUUACACAAGCUAUUUAGCGAACCCUGACGAAUAUUACAUUUUUGAUAUUUCAAUCCUGGGGGAUUUUCGCUAUCCAAUCAGCACUCACUAGCUCAUAGCCGCCCAGCCUACCUACUAGCCCCGCCCAGUCUACCCACUAGCCGCCCAGCCUAAUGAAACUUUCAAAUUCCCAGCACACCUUUGCUGAAACCAUUUCACCAUUUCAAUUGGCCUUUCACCAUUCAACAACUUCAAACUUCUUCCUCACACAAGGAUUCAAGUGCAGAGGCAGCACACAUUUCAGAUCAAGCAACUUGAAAUUUCAGACUUGAGCAACUUGAAACUCAAAAAGGUUAAUGGCUGGUGAUGACGGGGCAGAGCUGAGGCUAGGGUUCAACUCCGUAUUUUGUCUUCCGCUAUUGCACUAGCUUUUAUUUGUCUUUUGUUUCUCCAACUUAAGACUGUUAUGUUAAAUUCUGAAUUAUGUUUUUAUCGAGCUUAAACUCUAAAUUUCUAGCUCUAUGUUAUUUAACGUUGGUUAUCGGAAGCAUGAAACCGAACUUGUGAUCCUAAGGCUUUGAAUGUUGUUGAUUGAUUAGUAUCACUUGAUUUCUAUCUUUCUUCAUUCAAAGGGCAUUGCCCAACAUUUUUAUUC